rfam:Myotis brandtii contig206001, whole genome shotgun sequence.
GUGCUCGCUUCAGCAGCACACACACUAAAAUUGGAACGAUACAGAGAAGAUUGGCAUGGCCACUGCCCAAGGCUGACACGCAAGUCCGUGAAGCGUUCCAUAGUAAA